rnacentral:lncRNA from 1 species
CUUACACAGAGACACUCUAGUGAAAGCCUUUCUGGAUCAGGUCUUCCAUUUGAAGCCUGGCCUGUCUCUCAGGAGUACUUUCCUUGCACAGUUCCUCCUCAUUCUUCACAGAAAAGCCUUGACACUAAUCAAGUACAUAGAGGAUGACACGUGAGUCCGGCCUCUCUGGAGGAGAGCCUGUAUGCAUUGGAGUUGCUGUGUGUUCCCUCCGAGCAUUGUCCGCAUUAUAAUGUUUGGGUUUUCUGUCUGCUCUGUUUUAUUUGUAGGCAGAAGGGGAAAAAGCCCUUUAAGUCUCUUCGGAACCUGAAGAUAGAUCUUGAUUUAACAGCAGAGGGCGACCUUAACAUAAUAAUGGCUCUAGCUGAGAAAAUUAAGCCAGGCCUACACUCUUUCAUCUUCGGGAGACCUUUCUACACUAGUGUCCAAGAACGUGAUGUUCUAAUGACUUUUUAAACAUGUGGUUUGCUCCGUGUGUCUCAUGACAGUCACACUUGCUGUUACAGUGUCUCAGCGCUUUGGACACAUCCUUCCUCCAGGGUCCUGCCGCAGGACACGUUACACUACACUUGUCAGUAGAGGUCUGUACCAGAUGUCAGGUACAUCGUUGUAGUGAAUGUCUCUUUUCCUAGACUAGAUGUACCCUCGUAGGGACUUAUGUUUACAACCCUCCUAAGUACUAGUGCUGUCUUGUAAGGAUACGAAUGAAGGGAUGUAAACUUCACCACAACUGCUGGUUGGUUUUGUUGUUUUUGUUUUUUGAAACUUAU